UAGCCGUAAACGAUACUCGCUAGGUGUCGGCCACGGUGCGACCGUUGUCGGUGCCGUAGGGAAGCCGUGAAGCGAGCCACCUGGGAAGUACGGCCGCAAGGCUGAAACUUAAAGGAAUUGGCGGGGGAGCACAACAACGGGUGGAGCUUGCGGUUUAAUUGGAUUCAACGCCGGAAAUCUUACCGGGACCGACAGCAACAUGAAGGCCAAGCUGAAGACUUUGCCGGAUUAGCUGAGAGGAGGUGCAUGGCGUAGCGUGU
rnacentral:rRNA from 1 species